rnacentral:rRNA from 1 species
GAUGAACGCUAGCGGCAGGCCUAAUACAUGCAAGUCGAGGGGUAACAGGAAGUGCUUGCACUUCGCUGACGACCGGCGCACGGGUGAGUAACGCGUAUACAAUCUACCUCAUACUAGAGGAUAGCCCGAAGAAAUUUGGAUUAACACUCUAUAGUAUCAUUUAAAGACAUCUUUUUAUGAUUAAAGGUUACGGUAUGAGAUGAGUAUGCGUUCUAUUAGUUUGUAGGUGAGGUAACGGCUCACCUAGACUGCGAUAGAUAGGGGCCCUGAGAGGGGGACCCCCCACACUGGUACUGAGACACGGACCAGACUCCUACGGGAGGCAGCAGUAAGGAAUAUUGGUCAAUGGACGAAAGUCUGAACCAGCCAUGCCGCGUGCAGGAUGAAUGCCCUAUGGGUUGUAAACUGCUUUUAUAUAGGAAGAAAAACUUUCUCGUGAGAAAGCUUGACGGUACUAUAAGAAUAAGGAUCGGCUAACUCCGUG